rnacentral:lncRNA from 1 species
GGACACACAUUCUGGAAGGUCUGUGAAUCAGUCUUUAGAACACAUUUGGAGGAUUAACUAUUAACUUGCCUCAGUAGGGGGAAUUUUUGCAAUGUUGACCCAUGGAAACUUCAACCUUCCUAAGUCUCAUUCACCAUAAUUAAUUCGUUCCACAUUUACUGCAUUCUUACUUUGCACCAGACACUGGUCGGACAAUUGAUAAUCAAAAGAAGGGCACAGUUCUCAAAGUUUAUGGUCUAGGCCAAAGGGUUAUCAGUGAAUUGUGUUUAGAUCAUUAUCUGACUACAGAUAAGAAAGAUCCAAUUUAGACAGGGUGUGGGAAUUGAGAAGAUCGAGGAGGAUCAUCCCAGAAGAAUUCUGGUAGGAAGAAGUCCCUGCAUUUGGUUUUCACCAAUGGCUUUCUAGAUGGAUUUGUCCUGUGUAUCUGCAAGUUUGUACCCUUUGACCUACCAUCUCCCAGCUCCUCCUCCUCCCCACAUCUGCCAUUGGAGGCGAACUUGAGCAACCACAGGAGAACUGUGAUGUAUUUGGUGAAAGUAAGGAUGGUGCCUGAGACGCAAAACUCACUAGCGCAGUGAAUGGCCCUACUGCUCGUCGCCACAGAACUGUCUGCAUGUCUGGUUUAUUACCUAUCACUUUUUCCUUUGCUCAUGUUAGGGGUGCCCACGGAAACCACAUAACCCCAGAUAUACCUAAUCAUUUUGCUUUAAAUAUCACCAUUUGUGAGCCCCUGGGUUUCAUACUCAGUACCACAAAAAAUCCAUACUAUUAAAAUAUGAAAACAUAAGCAUAACCCAAAAGAAGCAGAGACUUUCAGAUAGCCUCUUCCUCAACAGGAGCUUGGCCCAGCAAUUUUUGCUGCACCCCCUUGUUCUUGGUGAAAUCUAAAAUAAAGACCAUAAGUCAGCAGCUCUCGCUAUAUAUUAAAGAAAACAAAAUCAAAUUUUGAGAUGAAAGAACCUUUCCAUGUCAGUGUAGUGUGAGGUGGUGAUCUUAAAAAUUGUAGUCCUAGAGCCACACUGGUGUGGGUUUGGGUCUUGGCUCUCUUUCUAGUUAUGUGGUGUGGGGAAUCUGCUCUGUCUCCCUAAUACUCUUAUUUUCAUCAAUAAAAUGGAAUUGUUUCGAGAAUUAAAUAUGAUAUUUAAAGUGCUGAGCAUGC